GGCCUUUGGAGACAUCGUGGGAACUCCUUCCGGUACUAUACAAGCUGCUGACGUGGCCGUGGACAUGUACAUGGAGUCAUGGUGGGACUUCAUGUACAUGGAUACAUGGUGGGAAUUCCUUCCAGCACCCCCGUACCGCAAAGCCAACGGUGGGGAAGGAGAAGAGCAGACGUGCAGGAAGACGAACGAGGAGAAACCAGGACGAGCGAGCAAUGGCAGGACUAGCUGGACCGUAAGUAGUAGCUGAAUUGUGCAUGACAACUUGACAUCCGUGCGGCACUCGCCACUUGCCACUGCAUAUUAUUUUCUUGUCCACUAACAAUGUCUCUCCUCUGCCCCCUGUGUGUCCACGGCCCUGUUGCUGAAUUGGCCCGAUGAAUCGAAUGUCUUCCGCAACUGGAACGGCCCAGUAAACGAUGUCGCGUCAGCGACUGAAUGCGCUGGAGGGAAAAUAUUGCUGCGAAGACGUUUCCUCUAGACCACGGUAUAUCAUCCCGUGACGACCACAUUGAAGUCUGAAUUUGAAGUGUGAAGAUGCUUCAGCAACCACAUCGUACUUUUCCAUUGCUUUCAUUAUGCUUCUACUGUGCAUGUGUGUAACUUGUGGGGUAAACAUGUGAUGACAUUGUAUGCUAGCGACACGGUCAGAUGUUGUCCAUGCGUCUAACGUACACGUGCAUGUUAUGCAUUGAAAAGGAUUUGCCACUUGCGAUCCUGGGACGAGUAUCAGGUCAGCUUUGUCCUGUCUGGGCUGUAUCAGAUUGCUGUUCACUUCUCUAUCUGUUGGAUGUGUGACUUUCUGCAAGUUUCUGGUGUAUGAUGGCCACUUCCUUUCUUGUCACUUUGUAUGAUAUGUUAGGUUCACGAUUUCACAUAUGCACGCACUCGCACACUCGUACGCACUCGCACCCUCGAACUCACCUUUACAGGCGCGCACUCACUUUCACUCUCGUACUCACCUUUUCGGGCGCGCACUCACUUUCACUCUCGUACUCACCUUUACAGGCGCGCACUCACUUUCACUCUCGCACUCACCUUUACAGGCGCGAACUCACCUUUCCGGGCGCGCACUCACUUCCACUCUCGUACUCACCUUUUCAGGCGCGGACUUACCUUUACUCUCGUACUCACCUUUACAGGCGCGAACUCACCUUUUUUUUUUUUUUUUUUUUACAUCAAAAACAGCCUCUUUUACGGGCAAGAUUAAACAUUAAAAGCAACACAAUGAUGAGAAAACAAGAGGGGUAAACACAAUAACUUUAUCAACGCUGUUGACUCACGCAUACACACAUACACACACACACACACACAAGAUAACAAUGAUACUCAGUACCUAGACUGCAGGAGUUGCAAAGAAAGUUAAAUCAAUGCAGCCUCCGCGUUUGCGAGGACAGCAGACUGAUCAUUGACGCGGCGCAUCCGCCGGGCACCACGAAGGCACCUUUUAGGGCGCGCACUCACAUUCACUCGACGUACUCACCUUCACAGCCUCGUACUCACCCUGGUUGCUUUUACUAAUCUUUUCUUUCUUUGGCCUGGGUAGCUGGACUCGCGCUUUAGCACAUUUAUCUCCAUAGCUACCCAGGCCCUAGAUAAGCUCUUGCUGGAGCAUUUGCUCUCCCCCUUCUACCUCUUCUUGUCUUUACUGUAUUCGCUGCUUCCAUGGCGUGGUCUGCAAACUGCAAUCCUUGGGCAAAUGUCAUGUUUGCUAUGUUGUGCUUUGGCCGUCAGCUUGUCUACACGCUGUAGUUGAAUUAUUUUUGUUUCACAACUGACUUCCUCAAGUACGGUGGCCACUGCUUUGCAUGGCAUUAUA